rnacentral:rRNA from 1 species
AUUGAACGCUGGCGGCAGGCCUAACACAUGCAAGUCGAGCGCGCGGCGGACGGGUGUGUAAUGUAUGGGCAUCUGCCUGAUGGAGGGGGAUAACUACUGGAACCGGUAGCUAAUACCGCAUACCAUCAGAUGAACCCAUAUGGGAUUAGCUUGUUGGUAAGGUAACGGCUCACCUAGGCGACGAUCCCUAGCUGGUCUGAGAGGAUGAUAAGCAACACUGGAACUGAGACACGGCGCAGACGCCUAAGGGAGGCAGGAGUGGGGAAUAUUGAAGAAUGGGCGCAAGCCUGAUGCAGCCAUGCCGCGGGUAUGAAGAAGGGCGUCGGGUGGUAAAGUACUUUCAGUCGGGAGGCGUUACCGACAGAAGAAGCACCGGCUAACUCCGUGCCAGCAGCCGCGGUAAUUC